rnacentral:lncRNA from 1 species
GAGAAAGGGAAGGCUGAGCCAGCCAUAGCAGGAAAUUGUCUUUUGAAAACAGAUUUCACGGGGUUCCAGCAGCUGGGCAGGUCACCUUGAAGGAGACGGAAACGGAGCAGACAGGAUGGGUCAAUGACUGGAGGCUCAUACCAUGGCAGGAUGGCUAAACUGCCUGUUUCUUGCUCUCUGCCGAAACCUAACCUCAUGUCAGAGCCUAGGAGGUUGUCUCUGAGGUCAUUGGGCUUCUUUAACUGGUCCUCUUCUCAGCACGGCCACAUUGAGAAGUGACACCAGGAGAAAAGCAGUGGAAGACAGCAGAGAAGCCACUUGUGAGUGAAGCCGAGAGCCCUCACCAGAAAUGACACCUCAAUCUUGGACUUCUGGUCUCCAGAAGUGUUGGAAAAUAAGUCUGUUCCAUCACUAACUCCUUGGUAGUCUGUAAGAGCAACCUGAGAGAACACUAAUGCACUACAGACUUCAACACUUAACUAAAUGGAACAAAACCAAACAGAAAGCAAGUACAAGAUCCUUGCCGAGCUGGGCAGGAAACAGCAUGAAGUACUGAGCAGGAAAAACACAGAACCGCCUUCGAGCAAGAGAUGCAGCACCGUGCGGUGUCUGAAAACUCCAUAGACAAAACUGU